GUGUGGUUUUGGCCGAAGAUGAGGUGUUUUGGUAGCCCUGUGGAUGCUGUGUGGUGUCUGGAAUGGGGCGUGUGUGUUCCCAUCAUGCCCCUUCCCCUCUGCCUGCAGAGCUGAGACAGACAGGUCUGAGGAGCAGAGCAGGAGCUGUGGGAAGGAGAAGAGCAAUAUGAAGAUGGAGUCUAAGAUGAGGCCAGCAAGGGAAAAGAAGUCGCGGGGAUGGAGUCCAGCCCUGAGGUGAGAUGGAAAGUGAUCGAGAGCAGUGACAGUGUGAAUCCUGUUGAUGCCAGGCAAGACCUGCCCGACUGGGACAAGAGUAAACAUCUUUGUCGAAACCUCCCUUGUGUUUCAGAC